rnacentral:rRNA from 1 species
CAGCCGCCGCGGGAAAACAGAGGAUGCAAGCGUUAUCCGGAAUGAUUGGGCGUAAAGCGCACGUAGGCGGUUAUUCAAGUCAGAGGUGAAAGCCCGGGGCUCAACCCCGGAACUGCCUUUGAAACUAGAUGACUGGAAUCUUGGAGAGGUCAGUGGAAUUCCGAGUGUAGAGGUGAAAUUCGUAGAUAUUCGGAAGAACACCAGUGGCGAAGGCGACUGACUGGACAAGUAUUGACGCUGAGGUGCGAAAGCGUGGGGAGCAAACAGGAUUAGAUACCCCUGUAGUCCCUGUCUCUUAUAC